AAUUGACUUGGCUGGGUAGUGGGGAACCAUUCCAUGAGGAGUAGAACACUCCUUAUGCAAGAUUCCCCUGUACCUGGCUGGGUUG
rnacentral:pre_miRNA from 1 species